GUAAAUAAACUUGUAAAAGGCUAUUUGUCACGUAAUUCCAGCUAUCCUUAGUAAGAAGUAGUCUAAAGGUUUGCACGUUAAUACAAAUUAGGUAGAUAUUACUUAGAAAAGUCGUUAGUUACUAAAUCACACUUCUAAGCAUAACUAUAAGAAACCAUGUCAUUGAAUGAAUCUUUUCAGGGUCGCAUGAAGCAAGAAUGGUGAGUCUUUUUCUCUCUCUAAAUUUGGAUUAGCAAGGAGAAAACAUGACAGGACACAAUUGGAAACAUUGGUUAUAUUACUAAGGCUUUAACUGGAAUGUCAUAUUCCAGAGAGACGUGCAUAAACUCAGAUAUGACCAGACAGCUUUAAGGAACUAAGGUUAACUUGAUGGAGCCAAUAAGCCCCUUGGAAGAACUGGCCUGGUACCUUGGUUAUGGGGUUCCCAGCAGCCUUACCAGCUGCACAAACUGAAGGUGAAGAUCUUGAUAUGAACUUCAGAGAAAUCACCACAACAGCCCAUGUUUCGACGAUCUUUCUGCUUGUUGCUAUAGGGGCCACUCAGAAGGAUUGCCAGACACAUCUGAACCACAAACCAGGGUUGAAACCUAAUCCCCAUUGUGAUGGUAUUUGAAAGGAGCCUUUUGGAGAUGACUCAGCCAUGAAAGCAGAGCCCUAAAGAAUGGGAUUGGUACCCUUAUAGAAGGCCCUCUUGCCCCAUGUGAGGACACAGUGAGAAUACAGCCAUCUGGGAAUCAGGGAGCAUGCCAUCACUGUACACUGACUGCCAGCAGACUGGACUUCUAGCCUCUAAAACUAAUAUAAAUUCCAUGAGGGUUCAGGCUACAUCUCUGGUUUAUCACCAUAGCUGUGCACUUAGCUAGCCAGCACAGAACCUGGUACAUGGUCAACACUUAGCAAAUAUUUGUUGAAAGAAUGAAUGACUAAUGAAGGACCUGCCUUGCUGGGCUAAGGACUUUGGAUUCUUCCUGUACGUAUUCUGCAUUGGGAUGACAUGAUCAGAUUUCUGCUGCAGAUUGAUCACUUGGUGACAUCAUAGCAGCACACAGCAGAGUUCAAUGACUCGGCUCCUGUCCUGAAGUAGCCCUGUAUCCAGUUAAGUAAAAAACAUCAGAAUCAGCUGGAGGACUGGUAAUGGAGGAGAGGAGACACAGUGUCUCCCACCAGAGAGAAGCACCUUGCAACCACAAGUCAUGCCU